CGCCAUAUAUAUCGCUCUUUCUUGGGGAAUCGCGGAAUCUUUUCUUCUCUCCAUCGCCCGCCGGUCGUCAAGGAAGGCCUCAUUUCGCCGCCCAACGAAACCCUCUCCCUUUCUCUCUUCUCGCUUCGAUUCCUCCGUCGCCGCGUUAUCCGAGGAUAGGAGCUUGGAUUCAUCGAACAUGCCGACCGUUAGUGUCAAAUGGCAAAAACAAAUCAUUCCAGCCAUGGAAAUCGGCACUAGUCAACCUCCCUUUGAAUUUAAAAGUCAAUUGUGUGCUUUAAGUGGUGUACCCCCUGAGAGGCAAAAAAUUAUGGUCCAGGGUGGCCUUCUGAAGGGUCAGAAGUUGAUGAUGAUGGGCACUGCAGAUGAAAUAGUGCAAGCUCCAUAGAGAGGUCCUGUAUUUAUGAAGGAUUUCCCAGAAGAAGACCAAGUAGUAGCUUUAGUGAGUCUUAAUUGUAUCAUCAUCAAUCUAAGAAUCAUCCAGUUGCUGUGAUUCAUCAGAAUUCGUGUUGGACUUUUGGAUUUCCAAAAUUGACCAUCAAAUUGAAUGAUGCUAAAAUAUGCAAGAUCAGGAUCAGUUUUAUGAUUAGCAAUAGGAGUCAAGAUAGGAAUGUCUGACCAAAUGAGUUGAUCUUUGCUAUGCCAGCUGGGUAAGCUGAGCGAUGAAAGGAAUGACAGCUUGAACAACCCUUGUUAAAGUUGAGCUUGUUGGGUUAGGUUAAUGAAUGCUUCGAUGAGAAUUGUGAUACUGGGUGGGAGUGGAGUAACUGAUGGGUGGUUGAUUGCCGCAUUAUGGAAUAGUCGAUGGAAGGUAUAAAUCGGGAAGGUGGGGUUUUCGAUGGAUCCUAAAGUAAGAUUGGGGAGAGUUGGAUCCUCCUUAUUGCCCAAGAGGGACCUACAUGAUUUUCCUUGGACAUAUUGGGAGGGGCCCUCCGUUAAGCGCUAAUAUGUUAAAGCAGAUUUUGGUUGUUCGAUUGGAAUGCUGAUUUGGAACCAACCAAGCUCCUACUCUUUUCAUCUUAGCGGAAGGUGGUAUUAGGUUGAGAGGUUUCGUGAUUGUCUAAUUUGGAGCUACGUUGAACCCUACGAAACUGUGUCGGGCAUGCUCAACAAAGCUCCUGAAGCUUAAGUUAGCACUCGAAUAAGUGGUUUUAGCUAGACAUCGAGUUUGUAUAGGUUGAAUAUACUAAAAAGAGACCAGCUCAGAGAACAUGCCUAAGGAACCCUUCUAUAUUGGGGUUUAGGAUAAUUUCACUUGAGGCUGUGGUUUAAGUCAAAAAUGGCUAUGUGUCUUCUCUGGUGUUGGGUGUCAUUGUUAUACAUCGAAUCCAGAGAAUAUGAUACGAUUGUGAGUGGGUCGUAACGUCUGGAGGGUGACAUCAUGUCAGCCACAUGGUGGUGAGGUGUCAACCACGUGUUUGACGAGCCGUCAACCAUGUGAUGGAGUGUCAACCACACGGUGAGGAGGCGUCCACGAUCAUUAUUUUGCAGUCAUUAUACCCAUAUCAUCGUCCAACCAUAAUUUGCAGUCACUAACCUCAUGAGAUCAACAAAGUCAGAUCUGCACCUGAGUCGGACCUUACUUUAAUGGAUUUAUUUGGACCAUAUAGAGGUCUAACUGCAUUUCUAGUUUGGUAUUUUAAUCUUACCUUCUCAUCAGUCAAAAUUAUGGUGUCUGAAUUUCACACCAUUAAACUUCAAGGGUUAUAUGUCAUGUAUUACAUCAUAUAACGUGUUAUAUGGGAAUCAUAAUUCCAUGUCGUUUGUCAGUUGUGUGACUCCAUUGUUGAUGCAUGAUUGAAAACUUUUCAUGUACACUUUGAGUUGUCGUUUCAUUGGCCAUCUAUUGUUGUUUAAUAACUUGAUUAUUGACAUUUUUAUGAGGUAAUGUUUCUGCAUCCAUAUGCAUGCAUGCACGUGAACUACAUUGACAGAGAGAGAAAUAGACCUAAUUGUUUUCAUCAAUUGUACCAUCUUUGCCACAUUGCCAAACACAAAUUCAGAACUUGUAUAAAGGUUCCACUAAGGAUCCUCUUCCCACUUGAAGAAGAGCAGGCCUGCUGUGUGUGGCUUCACAUGGUACAGGCACCAGACCAGAGCACUGUGGAUGUGCCGCUGCAUGAUUAAUGCUUACGUAGGUUCAUAAAGCUCAUCUGUAGUCAUCAAACGACUCCUGAAAAUGAAAUUUGAAAUGGCUUUCUUAAGUUCAUUAAGCGUACUAUCCAUAAAACAUUGGGAAGUCCCUCUGUUAUCAUUCAACUUUCAAGUUUCAUGAAGAGAGAGCUAAUCGCUUGCCACAGAAUUGCUUGAUCAUCUUUACUGUGUUGUGUUCUGAAGAAAAGGUGCAGUUAACUGGAAUUUAUGACGUGGUCGCUGUGUUGACUCACAAGGGAAGGAGUGCCGACUAUGUCUUCUGGGUGAAACAAGAAAAUGCUCCUUUUGACGCAGGAAAAUGGAUUCAGUACGAUGAUCACAAUCCAAUCCCGCGAAGGGUAGAAAGGAUAUUACAAAGCUAUCUGGCGGCAGUAAAGACUCUUCAAGAGAAAUCACAAGUGAUUGGCACAUGGCAGAAACAUCUGCAUGGAUAAAAGCCCAAGCUGGUUUGAUACGAUGGAACAUUGAGAAAAAAAAAAAAAGAAGAAAAUUUUAAGAUGAAAAUGCCUCUAUAUUGUUUGUAAUAUAACCUAUUUUGUAUUGAUUAUUGUUUGAUAUAUGGUCCCCUCAAGUGUGCUA